rnacentral:rRNA from 1 species
AUUGAACGCUGGCGGCAUGAUUUACACAUGCAAGUCGAACGGUAACAGGCCGCAAGGUGCUGACGAGUGGCGAACGGGUGAGUAAUGCAUCGGAACGUGCCCAGUCGUGGGGGAUAACUACUCGAAAGAGUAGCUAGUACCGCAUACGAUCUAUGGAUGAAAGCGGGGGACCGUAAGGCCUCGCGCGAUUGGAGCGGCCGAUGUCAGAUUAGGUAGUUGGUGGGGUAAAGGCUCACCAAGCCAACGAUCUGUAGCUGGUCUGAGAGGACGACCAGCCACACUGGGACUGAGACACGGCCCAGACUCCUACGGGAGGCAGCAGUGGGGAAUUUUGGACAAUGGGCGCAAGCCUGAUCCAGCAAUGCCGCGUGCAGGAAGAAGGCCUUCGGGUUGUAAACUGCUUUUGUACGGAACGAAACGGCUCUGGUUAAUACCCGGGGCUAAUGACGGUACCGUAAGAAUAAGCACCGGCUAACUACGUG